rnacentral:misc_RNA from 1 species
AAGACUAUAGACCUGCGGAGUACCUGCGGAGGGAUCAUUACCGAGUUUUCAACUCCCAAACCCCAUGUGAACUUAUACCAUUUACACCGUUGCUUCGGCGGGUUCUCGCCCCGGGCUUUACAACCCCGGAACCAGGCGGCCCGCCGGGGGACCCAAACUCUAGAUUUUAUUUUAGCAUGUCUGAGUGGAAUCAUUACAAAAUGAAUCAAAACUUUUAGCAACGGAUCUCUAGAUCGGAAG